AGAAUGUGGUGUGAGAACAGGUGUCCCCACUAGGUGAUAUAAACACGUAUGUGUGUGUGUCUAGUGUGUGUCCAGUGUGUGUCUAGUGUGUGUCCAGUGUGUGUGUGUCUAGUGUGUGUGUCUAGUGUGUGUCCAGUGUGUGUGUGUGUGUUGUGUGUGUCUAGUGUGUGUCCAGUGUGUGUGUCUAGUGUGUGUGUCUAGUGUGUGUCCAGUGUGUGUGUCUAGUGUGUGUGUCCAGUGUGUGUCUAGUGUGUGUCUAGUGUGUGUCCAGUGUGUGUGUCUAGUGUGUGUGUCUAGUGUGUGUGUCUAGUGUGUGUCCAGUGUGUGUGUGUUGUGUGUGUCUAGUGUGUGUGUCCAGUGUGUGUGUCCAGUGUGUGUGUCCAGUGUGUGUGUCCAGUGUGUGUGUCCAGUGUGUGUGUCUAGUGUGUGUCCAGUGUGUGUGUCUAGUGUGUGUCUAGUGUGUGUCUAGUGUGUGUGUCCAGUGUGUGUCUAGUGUGUGUGUCUAGUGUGUGUCUAGUGUGUGUGUCAUGUGUGUGUCUAGUGUGUGUCUAGUGUGUGUGUCUAGUGUGUGUCUAGUGUGUGUGUCCAGGUGUCUAGUGUGUGUCUAGUGUGUGUCCAGUGUGUGUGUCCAGGUGUCUAGUGUGUGUCUAGUGUGUGUCCAGUGUGUGUCUAGUGUGUGUGUCUAGUGUGUGUCUAGUGUGUGUGUCUAGUGUGUGUCUAUUGUGUGUGUCUAGUGUGUGUCUAGUGUGUGUCUAGUGUGUGUCCAGUGUGUGUGUCUAGUGUGUGUCCAGUGUGUGUGUGUGUCUAGUGUGUGUCCAGUGUGUGUGUGUGUCUAGUGUGUGUCCAGUGUGUGUGUCUAGUGUGUGUCCAGUGUGUGUGUCUAGUGUGUGUCCAGUGUGUGUGUGUGUCUAGUGUGUGUCCAGUGUGUGUGUGUGUCUAGUGUGUGUCCAGUGUGUGUGUGUCUAGUGUGUGUGUGUGUGUCUAGUGUGUGUCCAGAGUGUGUGUGUCUAGUGUGUGUCCAGUGUGUGUGUGUCUAGUGUGUGUCCAGUGUGUGUGUCUAGUGUGUGUCCAGUGUGUGUGUGUGUCUAGUGUGUGUCCAGUGUGUGUGUGUGUCUAGUGUGUGUCCAGUGUGUGUGUGUCUAGUGUGUGUGUGUGUGUCUAGUGUGUGUCCAGAGUGUGUGUGUGUCUAGUGUGUGUCCAGUGUGUGUGUGUCUAGUGUGUGUCCAGUGUGUGUGUGUCUAGUGUGUGUGUGUGUGUCUAGUGUGUGUCCAGAGUGUGUGUGUGUCUAGUGUGUGUCCAGUGUGUGUGUGCGUCUAGUGUGUGUGUGUGUAGUGUGUGUCCAGUGUG